AAAUCUCAAAGGGGUUUCAAAGGUUAGAAGGCUGAGAAAGGAAGAAGAAGAAGUUCAAAAGAUGUAUGUUGAAGAAGACGAGGAGUUUGCAAGACAAACUUCUCUAUAGUUCAUUAAGCACAUCUCUGGUGUUCUGAUCGGUUUGAGCUACACAACAAACUAAGAGAGAAGACAGGGCAGAUUGUUUUCACGCGAAAUCAAGAGAUCUCUGGUUUUUUUAGUAUUUCUGGGUGUACCGAUGGAGUUAGAAUCUCUAUAUUGGGACAAGUUAAAGGGGUCGUGGUGUACGCCAUUAUUGGAGCAGUUCUGUUUCGAGGGAUGUCUGAGAUUAUAAAUAGGGAAUCAGAUUUAUAUGUCUUGAAGUAGAGAUCGAGUUCCCGGUGUCUGAUAUACUACCUUAGUCUGCUAAAGCUUCGAUAUCGAUUGCCAGUACGGGGUUAGAGUUGUGCAUAAAGUGUGUUGUGUUGUGAUGUAUAUAUCUUUGUAUGAUAUAGAUACUCCACAGUUUGUGUAAGUUUUAGGAGCUGCGGUUGUAUAAACCUUUGUUGGUUAUGUUUUGGUUAAGGUGUCUCCAGGUUUACUCGUGAAAUCAGUUAUUUUCGGGCUACAUUUCAUGUAUGUAUAUGAUUAGUCUAGGAUCCAUUGUGUUAUGUUGCAUGUAAAAUAGUUUAUAUACUAGAUUAGCAAGUUUAUCACGUUAAAGAUUUUAGUAGAGUUGACAGAUAUAAGUAAAGAAAA